GAUGAACGCUGGCGGCGUGCCUAAUACAUGCAAGUCGAGCGAACGGACGAGAAGCUUGCUUUUCUGAUGUUAGCGGCGGACGGGUGAGUAACACGUGGAUAACCUACCUAUAAGACUGGGAUAACUUCGGGAAACCGGAGCUAAUACCGGAUAAUAUUUUGAACCGCAUGGUUCAAAAGUGAAAGACGGUCUUGCUGUCACUUAUAGAUGGAUCCGCGCUGCAUUAGCUAGUUGGUAAGGUAACGGCUUACCAAGGCAACGAUGCAUAGCCGACCUGAGAGGGUGAUCGGCCACACUGGAACUGAGACACGGUCCAGACUCCUACGGGAGGCAGCAGUAGGGAAUCUUCCGCAAUGGGCGAAAGCCUGACGGAGCAACGCCGCGUGAGUGAUGAAGGUCUUCGGAUCGUAAAACUCUGUUAUUAGGGAAGAACAUAUGUGUAAGUAACUGUGCACAUCUUGACGGUACCUAAUCAGAAAGCCACGGCUAACUACGUGCCAGCAGCCGCGGUAAUACGUAGGUGGCAAGCGUUAUCCGGAAUUAUUGGGCGUAAAGCGCGCGUAGGCGGUUUUUUAAGUCUGAUGUGAAAGCCCCACGGCUCAACCGUGGGAGGGUCAUUGGAAACUGGAAAACUUGAGUGCAGAAGAGGAAAGUGGAAUUCCAUGUUGUAGCGGGUGAAAUGCGCAGAGAUAUGUGAGGAACACCAGUGGCGAAGGCAACUCUUCUGGCUCGUGUUACUGUACGCUGAUGUGCGAAAGCGUGGGGAUCAAACAGGAUUAGAUACCCUGGUAGUCCACGCCGUAAACGAUGAGUGCUAAGUGUUAGGGGGGUUUCCGCCCCUUAGUGCUGCAGCUAACGCAUUAAGCACUCCGCCUGGGGAGUACGACCGCAAGGUUGAAACUCAAAGGAAUUGACGGGGACCCGCACAAGCGGUGGAGCAUGUGGUUUAAUUCGAAGCAACGCGAAGAACCUUACCAAAUCUUGACAUCCUUUGACAACUCUAGAGAUAGAGCCUUCCCCUUCGGGGGACAAAGUGACAGGUGGUGCAUGGUUGUCGUCAGCUCGUGUCGUGAGAUGUUGGGUUAAGUCCCGCAACGAGCGCAACCCUUAAGCUUAGUUGCCAUCAUUAAGUUGGGCACUCUAAGUUGACUGCCGGUGACAAACCGGAGGAAGGUGGGGAUGACGUCAAAUCAUCAUGCCCCUUAUGAUUUGGGCUACACACGUGCUACAAUGGACAAUACAAAGGGCAGCGAAACCGCGAGGUCAAGCAAAUCCCAUAAAGUUGUUCUCAGUUCGGAUUGUAGUCUGCAACUCGACUACAUGAAGCUGGAAUCGCUAGUAAUCGUAGAUCAGCAUGCUACGGUGAAUACGUUCCCGGGUCU
rnacentral:rRNA from 1 species